rnacentral:rRNA from 1 species
GAUGAACGCUAGCGGCAGGCUUAAUACAUGCAAGUCGAGGGACAGCACAGGUAGCAAUACUGGGUGGUAACCGGCAAACGGGUGCGGAACACGUACACUACCUUCCUUUAAGUGGGGGAUAGCCCAGAGAAAUUUGGAUUAAUACCCCGUAAUAUAGUUGAAUGGCAUCAUUUGAUUAUUAUAGCUACGGCGCUUAAUGAUGGGUGUGCGGCUGAUUAGAUAGUUGGCGGGGUAACGGCCCACCAAGUCUACGAUCAGUAGCUGAUGUGAGAGCAGGAUAGGCCACACGGGCACUGGGACACGGGCCCGACGCCUACGGGAGGCAGCAGUAAGGAAUAUUGGUCAAUGGACGCAAGUCUGAACCAGCCAUGCCGCGUGAAGGAUUAAGGUCCUCUGGAUUGUAAACUUCUUUUAUUUGGGACGAAAAAGGGCCUUUCUAGGUCAACUGACGGUACCAGACGAAUAAGCACCGGCUAACUCCGUGCCAGCCGCCGCCGUAAUAC